UAAGGAAAAUAGACGCUGCUCGGUGAAGCCGAUACGUCUACUCGGGAGAAAAGGGUGUGAGGCGAUGUGCGUUCCUCUCGAUAGAUCUUAGGCACGUCACCGCCGCCGCCGCCGCUACCACCUCCUCCGCCGUUCUUCUAUUCCCUUUGGGUCGCUGGUUCUCUAGGAGCCUUGGUUUCUUCUCAUCCCGCCUCUCUCGCCAUGUCUUCUCUCGCUCUGCCCAGUUGCCGUUGUGUGUCCCCGUCGACCGCUGCCGUCGUUCCCUCCCCGUCGACCGCUGCCGCCGUUCCCUCCCCGUCAUCCGCCGCAUGGAUCAAGUUCUCGCUACCAUCGCCGUUCUGUCUAACACUCUUUCUUAGGGAGGAAGAUGGAGGAUGCGAAGGCUACUAGAAAGCAUGGGAGCCCAUCCAGAUCCGUCUUAGGAGCCCACUACUUCCAUUGUUCCGCACCUCGCCCUCCGGUAGCAACGCCUUCGAUCGAUCUCUGAGCCGAGCUCCUCGUGUGACUGUGCUCCGAUGGCGCAGCUUCAGGGGAACAGUCAAAUCACCACUUGAAGAAGAAGAGGUGGGUGCAGGCGCUCAUGGACCAGCUCAACCUGCAGGACACGGGCAAUACCGCGGUGAGGGUCGGUGCGUGUCGAUAGGCACAGACACUAUCCAUACCCAUGAGAACGGUCUGGUUCAGCAGCUGCAUGCACAUCUGGUGGGUGCGACCUCCAUGCUCGAGCAACGACGACCAGCACGGCAAACAAAUAGGAGAAUUGGCUUUGCUCUCCAUAGGGAAUACAACCAUGAAUUUUUCAACUUUUGCAAAGUUUGGAGAUGGUCGAGAUCUGCAUGUGCAGAAGCAUUUCAAGUAAAUUAGGUUUGAAUGGCAGGUACCAUAUGGUAGGAAAUAUGUUCUAUAUGGUGGUAUUCCUGAGAUACAUAUUUCAUCAUAAGUUGCUCUGAAUAAAGUAAAAUGUGAUCUCAGGUAUUAGCUUACUCUUAUGUAAGUAAAAGCUGGUCACAACAAUCUAAUUUGUGAUGACCUACAGAAAUAUGAAAAAAGAGAGAAUGCGCUUGAAUAUUAACUGCGCUGAUGCCUAUUCAAUCAAACCAAUCAUUAUUGUUACCUUAA